rnacentral:rRNA from 1 species
CGUCCCAGUUCGGAUUGUAGUCUGCAACCCGACUACAUGAAGCUGGAAUCGCUAGUAAUCGCGAAUCAGAAUGUCGCGGUGAAUACGUUCCCGGGUCUUGUACACACCGCCCGUCACACCAUGGGAGUCGGAAAUGCCCGAAGUCAGUGACCCAACCGUAAGGAGGGAGCUGCCGAAGGUGGAGCCGGUAACUGGGGUGAAGUCGUAACAAGGUAUC